rnacentral:rRNA from 1 species
CCUACGGGAGGCAGCAGUGGGGAAUAUUGGACAAUGGGCGAAAGCCUGAUCCAGCAAUGCCGCGUGAGUGAUGAAGGCCUUCGGGUCGUAAAGCUCUUUUACCAGGGAUGAUAAUGACAGUACCUGGAGAAUAAGCUCCGGCUAACUCCGUGCCAGCAGCCGCGGUAAUACGGAGGGAGCUAGCGUUGUUCGGAAUUACUGGGCGUAAAGAGUACGUAGGCGGUUAUUCAAGUCAGAGGUGAAAGCCCGGGGCUCAACCCCGGAACUGCCUUUGAAACUAGAUAACUAGAGUCUUGGAGAGGUUAGUGGAAUUCCGAGUGUAGAGGUGAAAUUCGUAGAUAUUCGGAAGAACACCAGUGGCGAAGGCGACUAACUGGACAAGUACUGACGCUGAGGUACGAAAGCGUGGGGAGCAAACAGGAUUAGAUACCCUGGUAGUCCACGCCGUAAACGAUGAUAACUAGUUGUUCGGUCACUUGGUGACUGAGUGACGCAGCUAACGCAUUAAGUUAUCCGCCUGGGGAGUACGGUCGCAAGAUUAAAACUACAAAUGAAUUGACGG